UACGGGGGGGGCAAGCGUUGUUCGGAAUUACUGGGCGUAAAGGGCUCGUAGGUGGCCAACUAAGUCAGACGUGAAAUCCCCCGGCUUAACCGGGGAACUGCGUCUGAUACUGGAUGGCUUGAGUUCGGGAGAGGGAUGCGGAAUUCCAGGUGUAGCGGUGAAAUGCGUAGAUAUCGUGAGGAACACCAGAGGCGAAGGCGGCUACCUGGACAAUUGCUGACGCUCAGGCACGAAAGCGUGGGGAGCAAAAGGG
rnacentral:rRNA from 1 species